rnacentral:rRNA from 1 species
UACGUAGGGUCCGAGCGUUGUCCGGAGUUACUGGGCGUAAAGCGCGCGCAGGCGGCGGUGUUGGCCCGGCGUGAAAGCCCCCGGCUCAACCGGGGAGAGUCGUCGGGGACCGCACCGCUUGAGGGCGGUAGGGGCUGGUGGAAUGCCUGGUGUAGUGGUGAAAUGCGUAGAGAUCAGGCAGAACACCUGGGGCGAAGGCGGCCAGCUGGGCCGUCCCUGACGCUGAGGCGCGAAGGCGUGG